GAGCCAAGGAAAAUUGGAUCCCGUCCGCGUUCCCACGCGAUGUAUGCAAAAACAAAAGGCCAAUUCCCAACUCGAUCUCCUUUCCCUCCUCGUCUCGCUCCCCUCUCUGACCUUUCUUUCCGGCGUCACCGCAAUGGCCCUCGACCAGCCCCGGCCCCAUCCCCGACUGAAUUGAGGUCUUCGAGGCCGCCGCCCCCAUUCCCAUGGCGCCGCCGUCUACCGCCCAAAUCAUCCUUCCCCCGCGCCACGAUUUUGUGCCGCCGGGAGGUCGAGGAGCACCGCCGCCUCCCGGCCUCCUCGCGGACUUCCAGGUGCGUCGUCGUCCGCUCAGGCCCGCCGCCGCCGCUCGGUUUCGCGUGUGUGGCUGCUGCUCGCAUCCGCCGUCAUCGCUCGCGAUGUCGGCCCUCCACCGCCCCAUCACGCGCCCUCCGUAUCCCUAGCCGCGAGCCCUUCACAGCCCCAGCUCCAAACGCGCGCCCUCUGCAGCAGCCCAGGCGCGUCCUCCACCGUGCGCAUCAGCCCAAGCGGACCUCCGCAGCCGCCACGCAACCUCAAGCGGGACCUGCGCAACCGCUCUCAAUCGCCCUAUGGAUGGGACUAGAAGGCGGGUGCCGCCCACGACUACGGCAGCGCCGUCCCCGACUCCCCUGACGCCACUGAGCCGCGGGCCGCCGCUCGAUUCCGCGGCCGCCCACCACCGGCGCCACCAGCCGCUAGCUUCCGACCGCGCCCCGCCGCCGCCGUCGUUGUCCGCCUCGAGCCCUCUGUUCUGCAACUCCAGCAUCCGCGCCUGGCCGCCACUCACUGCCAAAUCCGGCCGCGCCCGACCCGGCUUCGGUCCAGUAACAGGCAACAGAGGUAUCAGGAGGUAGUCGCACAAUGAUCUCCUGACGGAACUAAAAAUCUUACUCGCAAAAUGAAAACUCUGAUUGCAAGUAAUUCGUCCGCAUGCUUAAAUUUUUGAGACCAGAAGGCGAGAAAAUAUGCAAUGUAGAACAUUUAGCGUAUGUAGUAGUAUAAUAACAUGAUAACUGAUGGAUUGGACCCAACUAUGAUCCCACUACGAGAGUGCUGUUCUUUAGUCUCCCUGGUCUUUUGGACUAAAGUGACACAGUAUUCCCAGUUUAGCGGUUUAAGUGUGCGUUUUUCGAGUUCGUGGACUAAAAUGUUUUUUUUGCGAGUUCAUGGACUGGUGGUGUAUUUUACUCUUUUCUCAAGGUCUUCGGAUUUUGUGUUGGAUGGUCAGUUCAUUAUGUGGAAAGAGGCCUUCUGGGUUUCUUCCAUCCAGAUUGUGUGAAUCAAUCAUUUAGGGAAUUGAACUGUUGAGAAGUUAAUUGUGCUACACAACGACACUUUUGUGACUGUUAAAGUAGCAUCAAGGAUCCUUAGCAUGUUCCUUCUCUGGCUGAUCAUUACCCUCCUUCUCUGAGACACCUAAUGGUGUUAUUCAUGACCAUCUAGAAUAGAAUGCAUAUAUCUAAUUGCUCAAUGCUUUUGUUCAAGAAAAAGUCUGGGAGAGGAAGUAAAUGAGACUAUUAUUAA